GACACCUUUUGCUAUCCCAGGUUGCUCCAACCUGGCUUGGGACACUUCCAGGGAUGGGGAGGUAACCUGGGUCUGGUGAAGGAACUUCCAAAUAAUUUUGGCCAGAGAGUUGUUCCUUAAUUUACUUUUCCCUCCCUCCUUUGUUCACAGGAUCCUCACGAGUUCCCAGAUCCAAAUUUCCAGAGUCAACAUCACACCUGCACCUCUCGGCCACGGAAAAGCUGAACCCAGUCCCGUGCCCUGCGUUCUCCAGAGGGAGGGGAUAUUCCAGGCAGGAAUGCUGAUGGAUGAGGGCCCUCAGGAGGGAAACUUCCAACAUUUUAGCAGCUUGUCUCUGCAGUGGGGGAGGUAUUUGACAGGGAGUGAUUGUCCAGGGCCGUGACAUCGAGACGAAGAGGAGGCGUGGAAACCGUUCCCGUCCGCGGGGCUCCUCCCGAACCCAGACCUUUUUUGGGAUGUGCGUGGAGAAGAUGCUCCCAGGAAGGUUCUGUGGAGGCUGCCAUUCCAUGGGGGGACUCCUUCAGAGCUCCCAGAGUGCCUUACACACCGGAAUGGAACAAAUCAGGGAAAAAAAACAACCCCAAAACGUGGCAUUUCCUCAGGGGAAUGAGGAUUGAGGAGCUGGCAACGACUUCACUGAGACAGCCAAGGCUGGAAGUGCUGCUGAGGCUGGUGGGCACUUGGUAUUUUCAGGAAGAAACACACACUGGCUAUAAAAAGGAGGGAAAAAGCUCUUUUCAUUGCCUGUAUUAGUUAUUCCCUGGGCUCUCGGGCUGUUGUGGAGGAACCUGGGGGUGCAGCUUUAAACCAAAAACGUCUCCGCGCCGGCCAGCAGCGAGUUCAGGUAAAAUGUUUCCAAAAAGGUUAAAGAACUUUGCAUCUUGGAGACAGAGGAGGCAGGCUCUGGGAUCUUACAGGACUUGGAAUAAGAUGGUGACAAGGUCUUGUCCCAAAAGGUCAUUGCCGUGGGUGGCUGCCAGGCUGUGUCCUUCCACUCCAUCCAUCCACCUCCUGCUUCCAUUCAGGACAUACUGGGAAGGAACAGAGAGAGACAGGAGUUAUUUUUAGGCUGCAAACUGAGUUACAGCCCCGGCUCUGCCCCCUGUGCCCACAGGGAGACGUGUCCAGCAGCAGCAGCAGCAGCAGCAGCAUUUGAACCCUCUGCAUUGCUCCACCCUGCAAAUGCUCCCCCUGAAUGUCAGGAGAGCAUUCCCAGGGCCUCUGGCUCAGCUCUGGGAUCACUCCCUGCACGGAGCAGGGUCAGGAACCCGCUGGCAGAGGUGAAGGUCAGGAACACCCCAGUGCUGGUGGCACCCGGAGCUGCCCGGGAGAGGAGAGGCUUUACCAGCUCCUGAACACUUUGGGAAUGUCCUGUUGGAUCCAACCAUCUCCUGGGGGCGUUCCCAAUCCGUGGGGCUGUUCCCACCCCCAGACACUGUUUGAGCUGAGGGAUAAAUCAAACAGAGUCCUUACCUUUCCCUCUCGGCCAUGUCUUGUUUCUCUUCUGCCCUGUAAACACAAAUCACGUUUGGAAUCAUCGCCCUGAGGUGAACAGUGGGAAGGAGGGGAGAAUCCAGGGCCCUUCUGGGGUGAUGGAGAAGAGAAUCCAGGGCCCUUCUGGGGUGAUGGAUGGACCUUGGAGAGGUCAGCAAUGGUCUCCAGUCCCUGGGAACCCCAGCCCCUCGUGCUCCAGGAGCUGGGCUGGACAACUCACUCAAUCCUCCCAAACUGGCAUCUCCCACUCAGGCACCAGCUCCAGGAGGGGUUGAGGCACCUGUGCUGACCCAGUGGGUCUUUCCUCUCUCCUUCUCUGCCUCUUGUUUUUCCUGGAAUCAGCCCUGCUCACAUCCAGCCCUCCCAGCAGCACUUCUGACCCCAAAGCACCGGGGAGGGAGCAGGUCUGGAAAAUGAAACCAAACAAACUGCACAAACUGAAGUCCCUCUUCAUGCCACUCCACAAGGAUGAAGUGGCUUUUAAAACAAGCACAAGGGCUCACUUUAGGGUCAGUUUGCUGCUCAAAUAGGGAUAAUGUGCCUGUUUUAUACAGAGAGUGGUGCCUGAUGACCUUUGGGAGCACAGACUGCGUGUGAUGAGGUUCUGUGGGGUUCAGAGGUUCUGUGGAUAAAUAGCCCUCUAAUCUAUGGAUAAAUAAUAACCUUUUAAUCAAGCUUCUCCCUCCUCCAGCUUUUACUGACUCAGAGAAAAUCAGUGCAGGAUCUCAGGGUGGGAGGAACGUGGAAUUUACUGGUUAUAACACAAUGGGAAAAAGCAACAACACCCCAAGAAAAUGAACCCACUCUCCACCCUACCCCCCCCCUAAAAAUUAAUUUUACCUUUCUUUUCUGGCCUUGAUCCUCUCUUCCUCAUAUCUGCAAGAAAGAGGAAAUGUUCUUUAAAUGGAGAUUGUUCACUCUUAGUGAAAUUCAAUGUUUGCUCUGAAGGUGACAGGAGCUCUGUGCUGGCACAAUGUGAGACAUGAGUAAGACAAGGUUUGCCCCAGGCAAAUCCGUGGAUUUUGACUCAACACGAGGUGGGAUGUCUGUCCUGCCCCUCCCCAGAGCUGCCCCAGGGCCCCUCUGGCACUCACUGUAGGACACAGUCUGGGAUCUGCACGUGCUCCAUGGGGAUGAGCUGCUCCAGCUCCUCCAGGGUGUGAACGUACUGGAUCUUAUUGAUAAACUUCACACUGGCAGGGAGAGAGAAACAGUGCACCAAGGAAUUCCCUCCACAGGAAAUCAGGGUUUUCCUGAUGGAAACUCUGCAUCUCUGUGCCCACCUCCCCCCUAAAAGCCAGGGGGAGAGUUUAAAUGCUGUGGUGAGACCCCACGUUACUGCUCCUCCCAAUCUCUGCAGGAGGCAAAAAGGACACCAUCCCCUCACUUCCCAGCAAAUCCUCAUGCCCUACCCACUGGGACAAACUCUGCUCUGCAUCCAGACCGCCCCAGUGUCUCCCAAAACCACUUCUGGAGUCAUCCUUGGAAGUGUCAGAGAGAAGAAGGACAAGGGACAAACAGCCUCACCUUGGCUGCUCCUGGCCUAAUGAUGAGCUUAAAAUCUGAUUUGUGAGAUUAAAGCCAGGGGAACAUCAUGAAGCUGUGUCAGGGGGGAUUUAGGAUGGAUCU